CAGACUCCAGAGUCCAGAGUCAAGACUGCAGACAACACAAUGGCGGCUUUCUUACUUCAUCUUAACUGGAAUCUUGAACAAUGCAGAUUAGCAAAGGUGUCGAAAAGUUCUCUAAGGGAAUCCCAGAUCAAUAUUAAUUUUCAGGAAUUGGGAGCUGAUAAACUUUGGAGCACAAACUAGACGACGCCAUCUUUUAAGUGAAUCUUUUAAAACCUUAAUAUCUUCAAGGGAACCUUCCGACGUCUCCGCCACCCUACUGGAAGUUGGUACGACUUUCGGUCGAGAAGUGCCCAGGGCACCAGCUUGGUCUGGAACCUCAUACAACUGUUGAGAUUCAUCAUCGACGAAUCCGGAACCAUCUUCGCUUUGUACGGUGUGAGAAAGGAGUUAUGGAGGCUGGGGGUCAUUCCUGGCCAGUCGUGGUGGUGGUGGUAAGGGCCUCCUAACCUUCUCUACCCACAUGCCUUAUGUGCCUAUCCAGCCUCUGGUCCACCUUGAGGUGGUAAGGGCCUUCCACCCCUC